rnacentral:rRNA from 1 species
CGCGUAGGCGGACUUUUAAGUCGGAGGUGAAAUCCUGGAGCUCAACUCCAGAACUGCCUUCGAUACUGAGAGUCUUCGAGUUCGGGAGAGGUGAGUGGAACUGCGAGUGUAGAGGUGAAAUUCGUAGAUAUUCGCAAGAACACCAGUGGCGAAGGCGGCUCACUGGCCCGAUACUGACGCUGAGGUGCGAAAGCGUGGGGAGCAAACA